GACCAUCAGGGAUUAAAUAUAAGCAAACAUAGAUCACUUGUCUUACAGGAAAGCAACUAAUGCUGGUCCCUUGGAUAAGAUUCUUCAUGGAAGUGUUGGCUAUCUCACACCAAGGAGUGGGGGUCAUUUAAUGAACCUGAAGUACUAUGUCUCUCCUUCUGACCUACUGGAUGACAAGACUGCAUCUCCCAUCAUUUUGCAUGAGAAUAAUGGUAAGACUUUAAUUGUAAAGGAAUUAAAGGUUUUGUUCGGUGCCCAGCUUGCCUUUAAUUUCUGGUUUGCUAUUCUCUAAUGAGUUUGUUGACCUUACCAUUUGCACCUUAUACACACAACACCUCACACACGUAUAUGUGUGUUCACAAGUACAUACAUAUGUAUAUACACACAUGCAUAUAUACACACAUACAUAAUAGGAGCUUAAUAAGUACUUUUGGGCUGGGCACGGUGGCUCACGCCUGUAAUCCCAG
rnacentral:lncRNA from 10 species